GUAAAUAUAGUUUAACAAAAACAUUAGAUUGUGAAUUUAAUAAUAAAAGUUUAAACCUUUUUAUUUACC
rnacentral:tRNA from 1 species